CUGCAUAUCAUUUUAUGGCCGCUUGAAUCUAUAACAUUACAAGUUUCAAUAGUUUUAUUUAUUAAAAAUGUCUUUCAAUAGCUUUGAAAGAUUAUACUAAAACUCUCACAUGGGAAAAAUGUUUGUAUCAAUGAUCUAUUAAACCUAUUUAGAAACUUAAGACUAUGCCUUCGCAACAUUACAAAAAUAAAAAAAUAUGCAUUCAGCACCUUGUUUGAUGGGGUUGGGAGAGGGAAAGUUGUGCCCAACACGAACACAUCCAAACUUUAAAAGCAUUCAUCCACCAUUUUUAGGAAGAGCAUUUUUAGUAUACUAACGUUAAUAUUUCCUUUUAAUGAAGUAUCUAAGAAUUUUCCGAAAGAAAUGUACUACAAUUGAAAGGAGCACAAUGCAUCCCAUUGGUUGGAAAGAGCUUGGACUAGUUGACUUACUUGUUGGCGCUGAUGAGACCAUUUUUGAGCCAUAGGGCACUCAGUUUCUAUUGAUGCUGCUAAAGUCUGAAGGUCCUUAGAAUUUGCAUGCCACUCCUGAGCAGUAGUAUCUGCCAAAUUCUUAUUAGAAUAAGCCUCCUGCUUUAAAAUAUCAAUCUCCUCAUAAAGCAUGUUAAUCUGGCCCUGUAGCUUAAGAAUUCUAUUCCUCAGCUCUUGGUCUCUCUCUCUGGCUGCCUUGAUCUUCUCUGUCAACUCUCUAGCUCUAGUAGUCUUGGAAACAAAGUUGUCCAAGUGAUUAGUCAGAGAGGUUAGCUCAAGCUGAUAGGCAGAGUAGGAAGUGAUCAACUGGGGAAUCUCUAUCUGCAGCUUGUCCAACCUCUCUCGGACCUCCAAUGUAUGAGAUGGACUUCUAAGUAGGAUUUUGAUGGCUCCUAAUGCCACAUCUCUUUGUUCUACACUCAGGUAAGGAAGUUUUAUUGUUAGAAUCUCCAUCAGCUUGGUCUUUGCAGGCUCAACUUCCUCUGGGCUAGAAGGCUCUUCUAAUGAAGUAAAGGAUGGCACAACAGAAGUAAGAUCCAAAAAGGACAAGUCCAAUGACUCUAGAGGAUUGUUGAAUUGCUCCAAACUAGCAUCCUCUAGAAUGCAGAAAGGGGCCUGACCACUUGAAGAAGAAGCCUCACAUUCAAGGGAUGGAGCAAGGCUUUUGAAGACACAGCUUUGAGCAUCAACUGUAUUGAAUGAGUGAUUGUAAGAGGUUGAGUUAAGGAAAUGAUGAUCCACAACAGUAUCCAUGAAAAGGGUCUCCUCUUGGGCCUCAUGAUCUUCACUAUAUCCACUCUCAACCUCAUCCUCUUCUUCUAUGCUCUCGUCCUUUCUCAACUUGUUGGAUAUACACAUUUGGUUACUAGAGGAUUGUUGAGUUCCUUGAGUGGUAAGGAUCUUAUCUUUCCCUUUGUUUUGCUCCUUGGAAUGUGGAGAAGAGACGAUAACCUGUCGUUCUGUUCCUUCCGCAUCAAAUCUGCGCUUUCCAUUGUCUUUCUCAUCAUUGUGAUAGUCAUCAAGAUCUCUUCCAAUACUAGUGCCUUCUGCUUUGUUGAAAGAAAACGUUAAGGACAUCUUGCUAGGGUCAUAAGAAUAGCUAGGUUGCGUCACUGGGGGAUUUUCUACCACAUCACCAAUGUACAUUAAUCGGAUCAAUAUAUAUUUUAGCUUGUAGCAAGGCUUGGCACAUGAAGUUUCAAGAUAUGCAUCAAAUGUGGCCUUAUUCCAUUCAGAUUCAUACAACCAAUCAUCACUUACCAGUUGAGUUUCAGAUGUGAAGUAGGAAGAUCCAUACUCAAACGGCAAAUGUCUAAGCUGUAUUGAUACUCGUUUGCUUUCACCACAAGCACUAUUGAAUUGGCAUUCCCACCUACUGUAAAAAUAAUCAUCACUCCCAUUGCUGUCCUCAAGCGAAAGGAUAGCAAGUACAGUGAAACCCACGAACUCAUCUCUAAGCCAAUUUUGAGGCAGCUGAAUAGUAAUUGAAGAUCCUUCACUUUGGUGGUAGCAACCAAAACUUCCUAAUGGAAAGGUACUUAUCUCCUUGGGAAAGAGUAAAGCAGCUCCCACAAAUUGUAUUCUCUGAUAUAUUACAUGCCAAAAAUCUGCAAUCUUCUCCUGUUCCAAUUUUGAGUGAUUAAAGAAUGGAAAGCUAUCAUGAUGACAGAUACCUAUACUAUGUCUUUCCAAUUCCCCUUGGUUAUCUACUUUUGCAUAUCCUUGCAAUUGUGGAAGUCUCGUCCGUUUGAUUAAAUCAAGUUCUUCAGGCCAUAUAGAUGCCCUCUGGAAAUUGUUUUCAUCCCAAGCGCACGUAAUUUCUAUAAUAUAAAUGCAUGUUUCAGUUAUUUUCCAUUUAUAAGCGAAGUUUACUUGAGAAAUGUCACUUGGGAUAUUUCCAUGGUGCAAUGCAGUUGCUGAAGAUUCUCCUUCGAAGAUAGUUCCAGUGAAUUCUAAAUAUUCUAUAUCGCCAACUUCUGGAAACUUCUCAUGAUUCGAGCAGCCAAGAAGGUCAAUACACUUGAUAGAUCUUCGACAUGGAACACUUGUAAUCUUUCUACAGUGCCGGAAAUUCAUGUCAACAAGCUUGUCAAGAUUUGCAAUAGAUGCAGGCACCUCCGUCAAACAUACACUGUCUUGGCAAUUAAUCUUCUCAAGAUUUGAGAGCCCUGAUAAGUCUGGCAAUUCAAUCAAAUUUUUACAACCAUCCAGAAUGAUGGCUUUCAAAUUUGAAAGAUCCUGUAUUCCAGUCCAAAGUCGUUCAAUUUGGCUUUCAGACAUGUCUAAUACAUCAGGGUUGUCAGGAUGAAAAUUUGAUGGCAAAGAUUUCAAAGGAUAGAAAUUCCAUUGGAAAUGUCUUAGCUCAUCAGGGAGGGAUUCCAAGCCUUCAGGGAAUUGUAUACCAUGUUUGGAACCAUAAAAGAUGAGCAGUUUGAUCUGCUUCAUCUUGGCAAAAGCUGUAGGAGAUAAGCAUAAUCCACUUAGUUUUGACUUGUCUAAGAGCAUGGCUUCAAUUGCUUCACUUGCAGUAUUUUUGGUCAACACAUGACAAAUAUCCUCGUAAUCCCAUAAUCUACUUCGUUUGCCUGGUUCUUUCAAGGAUUCUUCACGAACAAUUUGUCUACCCAUUUCUUGUACCAAAUCAUGCAUCUCUACCAUGUUGUUCGAAAUGUCAACAAGACACUUAUCAGCAAGGACUCUUAAGUUAAUUGAAGUAUGAAAACCACAAGCGUCCAGUAGUUUUUCUGCAUCAAAUAUGGACACCCCUUUAAGGAAACAUGCCAUAUGAAGAAAUGUUUGUUGCUCAUCAAAGUCAAGCCCUUGGUAACUUGUUUUUAGCACAUCUUGUAUCUUCACGUGAGGAGUUUUCUCAAGUUUACUCAAUGCACUUUCCCAUUCUAUCUUGCUCUUUCUAUACAAAAAUACACCAAGAACUUUAAGACCUAAAGGGAUGCCUUUUACAUAACUUACUACUUUCUUUGAUAGUCCCAUCAUAUCUCCCUCGGGCAGUCUUUUCUUAAAGGCAAACAAACUGAAAAGCUCAAGACUGUCCGGCUUACUUAGUGCUUGAACCUCAUAAAUUUCAUCAACUCUAUCUUGAAACACGUGUUUAUCUCUGCUUGUCACGAUGAUUCUACUUCCAGCGCCAUACCAAGC
rnacentral:misc_RNA from 1 species